GGCAGUGGAGGAGGCCUUCCCAGAUGGCAGCAGAGCAGUGGCAGGGCAAAGCAGCCUCCCCCACCCCUCCAUGUGUUAUGGAAAGGAAGUUCUCCUGGUUCUUCAGACUUAGCUCUGUACGAGGAUACAGAAUUUUCUUGUGACUUAUCUGAGUUACACCUAGCCUUGUGCCUUCCAAGAAAGCACCAGGGUCCCCUACUGAAAAGAAUUGUGAAAAUUCAACUAUGAAAGAGCUGUGGAGCAGGAUUAAGGCUAUUAUAGGUCUUUAAUAACCACAGGAUGUCAAGCAUUAAUACUGAGAGAUAUCAGCAGGUGAAUGAAGCCGACUUUGUGUAAACAUCUGACAGUUUUACGCAAGCCCCAUAUCUGUGUUAACAAGACUACAAAGGAGAGAGCACCCUUAGAUGCUUUACCCACUCAGUCUGCUGCCACUCCAGCGGGAGUGACCUUGGAAAUCAUCAGCACUCACCAGAACAGCAGAGACAGCCCCUGCUGCAAACUACACUGGAGAUCCUGAGUGACUAUGAUGGGACUUCACAAGCUCGUAUGUACCCAACACCUGGCAAGGCCACUGGUCUCAAGAGAUCCAAACACAGUGUGGAAAACCAGGAAA